rnacentral:rRNA from 1 species
CUUUUAUGGAGAGUUUGAUCCUGGCUCAGGACGAACGCUGGCGGCGUGCUUAACACAUGCAAGUCGAACGGGGUUUAACGAGAAGUUUACUUUUUGUUAAACCUAGUGGCGGACGGGUGAGUAACGCGUGGAUAACCUGCCCAAUAGCCUGGGAUAACGCCGGGAAACCGGU